UGCUCUGUGGCUUAGUUGGCUAAAGCGCCGGUCUAGCGAAUACGGAGUCGUGGGUUUGAAUCCCACCAGAACGC
rnacentral:tRNA from 1 species